UUUAUGUUUAGAAUUGCAGGCUUAACCAUAAACUUGUUUUAAUCUGCAGCAUCCCCUGUAGUAUCUUUCCAUCACCCACUGAUUUGCUAUCACUAGUUCUCACAAGGGAAUUUGUUUUUUAGGCUUGAGCUCCUGUACCUCUCAUUCUAGAAAUUAACUACUAUAUCUCAACAAGUCUUAGCUGUUUAGAUAUUUUUAAAAAGAUUAAUAGCUUUUGUCAUUCUGAUAUUAAAAGUAAUGGAUGUAAGUGGUCCCCAGAAACAUUAACUCAAGAAUCCAGUUGACAUUUCCAUUUUCUCUUCUUGUCUUUCUGUUGCAAUUUGUCCUUCUAUGCCUGAGAACUUGCAUCUUACUAUCUUAUACAAACUAUCUGUAUUAUCUCCUGUAGUUACAGUUUGCUUUAUAACAUAGAAUUUUUAAAAUCGGUCUAGCAAAGUGAAGGGUUGUCCAGGGUCUCCCUUGUCCAUAACUUGAAGCAGAAUGGCUGCAGUGCUGAGAUUGUUAGAUCAGUUUUUUGCUUCACAAUGAUGGAAUAGGUUAUAUUUUAACAAAAUAUAGGAGUGUUUGUUCUCUCUGGCCAGUAAGUGACAAAAGUCCAGGUCUAUGACCUUGAUUCCUUCAUUGCAGCAUCCAUGGUUUUGAUGGAACUUUUCUGUAAAUAUAGAGAACAAGUUCUAAAUUUAUUUGUGGAUAAAAUUUGACUUCCCUAUAUUUAUUAGUCUUAUUUUCCCUUUCCCUCAGUUACCCCCAUAGGUAAUGAAGAAUCAAUACAGCUGUGAAGCAACAGAAGAUACCAUAUGCUUUUUUCUGAGGAAUGCAGCUUCUAAUGUUGCCAGCCUCACAUUUGUUUCAAGUAAGAAUGCCCCCUCUUUCGCAAUGUAUUUUCCAGCUUUUCCAUUUUUUGGCAGCAAAAUAUGCCUAGACGUCUAACAAAUAUAAGAAGGUGAGUGAAGAUAUGGAGAGCAUACAAUUGUGAAUGAUUUGUAGAGGAAUAAGAGAACAUUAACUUC